CUGAUUAGAAGCUUGCUUCUAUGACGUUAGCGGCGGACGGGUGAGUAACACGUGGGCAACCUGCCUGUAAGACUGGGAUAACUUCGGGAAACCGAAGCUAAUACCGGAUAGGAUCUUCUCCUUCAUGGGAGAUGAUUGAAAGAUGGUUUCGGCUAUCACUUACAGAUGGGCCCGCGGUGCAUUAGCUAGUUGGUGAGGUAACGGCUCACCAAGGCAACGAUGCAUAGCCGACCUGAGAGGGUGAUCGGCCACACUGGGACUGAGACACGGCCCAGACUCCUACGGGAGGCAGCAGUAGGGAAUCUUCCGCAAUGGACGAAAGUCUGACGGAGCAACGCCGCGUGAGUGAUGAAGGCUUUCGGGUCGUAAAACUCUGUUGUUAGGGAAGAACAAGUACAAGAGUAACUGCUUGUACCUUGACGGUACCUAACCAGAAAGCCACGGCUAACUACGUGCCAGCAGCCGCGGUAAUACGUAGGUGGCAAGCGUUAUCCGGAAUUAUUGGGCGUAAAGCGCGCGCAGGCGGUUUCUUAAGUCUGAUGUGAAAGCCCACGGCUCAACCGUGGAGGGUCAUUGGAAACUGGGGGAACUUGAGUGCAGAAGAGAAAAGCGGAAUUCCACGUGUAGCGGUGAAAUGCGUAGAGAUGUGGAGGAACACCAGUGGCGAA
rnacentral:rRNA from 1 species